rnacentral:tRNA from 1 species
GGGCCUGUGGCGGAAUUGGCAGACGCAGGGGACUUAAAAUCCCCCGAGGGUUAUACCUCAUGAGGGUUCGAGUCCCUCCGGGCCCA